UGCAUUUGACCCGUGCCCUAAUCAACUGACAAACCACCGUGAGUUACACACAGUCACAUAUCGGGUCAAUGCAUAUAGUUGUAGCUCCAACACAAACUUGAGGGCAUCAGUGGUGGGGAAAAGGACCCAAUAGUCAUACUUUUGUCAGCUGUCUGGAUGGCUGGUCUCAAGUCGAUCUCACAGGUGGAGAAGCCAGAUGUGGAGGUCCUGGGCUGGCGUGGUUACACGUGGUCUGCGGUUGUGAGGCCGGUCGGACAUACUGCCAAAUUCUCGAAAACAACGUUGGAGGUGACAUACGCUGCACUUCAGCUUCAGCUCACAGACGGAUGGCCUGACAUUCUCCUGUGGAAUUAUCUGAUGCAGAGAAGAAUUCAUGGUUCCUUCUAUAUUAAGGCAAGUCGUCCAGGUCCUGAGGCAGCAAAGCAUCCCCAAACCAUCACACGACAACCACCAUGCUUCACCGUUGGUAUGAGGUUCUUACUGUGGAAUGCAGUGUUUGGUUUUCACCAGACAUAAUGGGACCCAUCUCGUCCAAAAAAGUUGAUUUCCCUAUUUGCCAAAAAGCACCUGCAUGAUCAUCAAGACGCUCUGGAAGAAUGUCCUGCGGACAGAUGAGUUAAAAGUCUAGCUUUUUUUGGACGACAUGGGUCCCAUGGUGAAAAGACAUUCAGCACUACCAUUCUUUCUAGAGUUUUCUAGCAUGGAGUCAUUCCAUUUCACCAAGCUCCAGAAUGUUGGCAGUGAAAUAUAAUCAGAUGAAUAGGGGUAGAAGUGUUUCCUCGGCACAUGGUCAGGAACAACUCCUCACCCUGGUUCUAUGCAUUGCAGAAUGCACUAUAGGCUAUAAUAAUAAUAAUAAUAAUUAUAAUAAUAGGUGCUUAUAU